GACGGCUGACGGAGUAAUGGGGCAGGCCGCCGGACCGUCGAAGGAUUGUGCGUGACUUCGGGCAGCCUCCUUUGGGAGGCCGUUUCCAUUCUCUUUUCACCUCGGUCCCCACCCCGGGACUCUGGGCCUCAGUUUUCUUAUCUGGAAAGAGGGGCGUGGAGUCGUCUCCCCGCCCACACUCCGCGGUGUUAGGGCAAACCGAGGGCGAGCUGCCCAGCAAAGGUGAGAGAGGAUGGAGACCUUCGGCUUGAGAGUGGAAGGGGCGCAUUCUGAACUUUAUCCCUUUGUUUUUGCUUCUGUCUUGUCAUAGAGGAGCGCUUUGUUUUUGGUCAUUUUCCUUGGGCCAUCAAGGCCUUCUCAUCCCGGAUUCUGGCCUCCUUCACGCCACGCCCCGUACCGCAGCGUCUCCCACAGCGUAGCCAGAGGGCGCUUCUGCUUAAAACCCUUCACCAGUCUUCCCAUUGCCUCCGGAAUUAAACCCACAUUCCUCAGUGUCAAUCUAAAGGCCCUUCAGGAUCUGGACUCCACCUUCUUGCAACACUCUGAACUUCUCUGGAAGCUGGGAAGCCCUAAGCAAUUGUUCUCUCACGUGGGUCCCUCCACCCUGCACUCAGCUAAUGCCUCACACUCUUCAAGCCCCAGCCUAGACGCUGCCUCCUCAGUGAAGCCUUCCCAGAUGCCCGGCUCCAUAUGAGGUGUUGACCUGGCAUGCAGUCCCUGUGGCUCCUGUGUGGCCCCAUUUCUGCCCUCUGAAGCAACAGAGUCCACGCACCAGAUGUUACAAAACCUCCCUACCUUGGCUGCCCAUCUCUGCAAAUAUGUGACCAGACUAGAGUGGUCAACCCCAGGGAUCUGCCCACUGAUUCCACAUACCCAGAAUGCCUUGGGUGGCAGAGGGACACCACCGAACUUUGAGAAGCAGCUCUGAGUUUGUGAACAUUGGAUGCCGAUAAUUAUCCAGCUGGCCGCUGUGGGCGCGGUAGGCGGUGAAACCCUCCAACGUCGGUUUGGAAGCUCGAGGUUUCACCCACAAAGGUAGGUCGAAGCGGGACCGAUCCGGGAGGCUGCGCUCCCCAGACAACGCGUAGAGCCGCCCGCGCCGGUGCCCGCUUCAGCUCACUAUCCUUGGGUGGGGGAGCGGGAAGAGGAUCUGGCACGAGGGGGACGAACCCACGUGUACCCAGGUCUUAGCUCCAUCUGGAGUUCUCUGCCCCUGCGCCCGCAGGCCCCGGGCGCCCCCUGGAGGCGGUGAGAGCCCCGAAUGCGCAGCACACGCCCAGGAAGGCGCUGGCUUGAACAACCUACCCAUCAACUAGAAAAGUACCCCCAUAAAAAUGGGCAAAGGACAGGAACAGAGGCAUUUGAGAUGAAACACAAACGCCCAAUAAGACAUUAAGCUGAUGUUUACAUAGGCAGGAUCUGUUGCAAGCCCUUAUAUGCAUCAGCUCCUUUAGAUCUCUCAACAGAGCUACUAGGGAGUAUUCCCAUUCCAUAGAUGAGUAAACUGAAGCACAGGAGACUAAGUGACUUGCUCAAGGUUAUACAGUAAGUGGCAGGGCCAGUAUCUGACCCCGCAGCCUGGCACCAGAGUCUUAGGGCCUUACUCACUGCACCAGACUGUUUCUCAACAUGUGGAAAAUAUACGCUCUGGCUAAAAACCAAAGUAUAAAUUAAAACAAUUCAUUCAGUAAAUUAAUUUGUCCUACAAGUAUUUAUUGGAUGCCCGUUGUGAGCCAGGCCCUAUUAUGGGUGCAGGGGAAUAGACACUAAAACACACAAAACAUUAAGUUUACAUUCCAGUGGGGAGAGAGACAGACAGUAAACAUGAGACAAUAUUCUAUGGCAGGUGGGCUAGUGCAUGUGGAAAAAUAGCAGGGAAAGGGGGAGAGGGAGGGCUAUUUAAAUCAGGUGUCAGGUGGACCUCUUUGAGAAGGUGACACUUGAGCUGAGACCUAAAGAAAGGGAAGCCUCGUGAUUAUCAGUGAGAGGAGCAUUCCAGGCAGAGGGAAAGUCCCUGAGGCCGGUGCUGAAGGUGCUGUCCACGUGGACAGGAGGUGGUAGGCUCCUUCCUGGCCUCCCUGGUCCAUCGCCAGUGCCCAGGGCCAUACGAGGUGUUCAGGGAGGACUUGCCUGCUAACCAUUAAGUGAGGAUAGCACCUGUUUUUUGCCCUGGGCAUUUGCUUACUUCCCUGCAGCCGGUCCCAUGUGACGACUGUCCCCAUGAGUCUCAGCAGAGGGUGGGAUGAUCUGGAGACGUGGAAGGGAAGCCCCCACUAAUAUUUAGGUGGAGAUAACUAACCCAGAUUCUGGCCCUCUGAACUGGGAUGGCAGCAAAAGUCAGCCCUGUAAAAUGCAAUGAGAGAGGUUUGAUUACCAGGAGGGACCAUCUAACCCAUAUCCCAGACUCUGAGAGGUCAGCCCACACAGGGGCCUGAGGGAGCCGGGGAUGAGUGCGCUCUGCACAUACCGAUGGGCCCCAGCGGGAUCCUGGGUGCCCAGGCGUCUGUGGUCUCUCUGCUUCACUAGAUCUUGGCGGCAUCUAGAAUUCAGAAGUGAACUUCCCUUCAGUGAGCUCCCUGUCUGUUGCCCUGGGGUGGAAGGGCCAGGCCAUGACUGUUAUCUGCAUGGCCUACUUUCCUCCAGAGACAGAAGCCCAGAGUAAGGUCAAAAGGAGACCAGGUGGCCCCGGAGGAGGCGAACCCAGUUCUUUCCCAGUGCCUGCCACUUUCCUUGCUGUGGCCGAAAGGCCAUUCCCUUCCCCACUGGUGUGGCCUCAUCACAUCCCUUUGAUUAGAUGAAUCACCUCUAAAAAUUGCUUAUGUUCCAUAUGGUGAACUGCUCUUUUGUUCAGCGCUGAAUACUUCUGUUGAUUCUUGUGUCCACCUGGGCUCUUUUGAGUCCUGCUUAGACCAGCUUAUGAAGGGGUUUUCAAGAUGAGCACAAACUGGGCCAGAACCUGGCACAGAGGGCAGGUGAGAGUGAGAGCCACUCUGGGGUCACUGGUUUCUUCUCCAUGUCUCUCCCAGGGUCACACAGUCUCUCUCUGAGCUUGCUUUGCUCUCUUCUCUCUCCUGACCAACAGCUCCUUUGUAUCUCCUUAACUCUGAGUUUCCUUUCCCUGUCUCCUAGCUUCUGUUUCCCGCUAGUUUCUGCUUUCAUGUAUCUGAACACACUAUUGAUCUGAACAUCUCCUGACCUCUCCCUUUCCUCCUUUCCGUGCCUGCACCAGCUGCUAACUGCCUCAUUGCUGGACUUCUUCAUUCAUGUUCCCAAGCUCACUCACCUAUUUUGUGCCACGGCACAUCAUAUGUCUCUGGAUUGGUUGCUUUGGGUCAUGGUCCCCUCCUGGUCCAAUCAGUGGGGCCAAGAAGGGAAGGCACUAAGGGGGCCGGCACAAGGCUGUCUCUCCCACCAGUGCCGUGGGUGAUGCAGGCACCACUAUUAGACUGUCUGCUAGAGUCCCAGAUUCAUUAAUUAUUUUUAUCUGUUUACUCAUGCUUGAGUUUCAUUUGUUGACCUUUGUUAUUGUUGCCUAGAGGUCUUUUAAGGAUCCUUAAAAAUUCUUCAGCCACCCAGCUUGGUUCACUGUGGAGGCUCCUACCUAGAGGCCUGGCAGAGGGAGGGUCAUUCAUAGUAAAACAAACAGUAAGUCAUUUCCCCUUCCCUCUUUAGUCUCACCUUUCAUCAAACAAGGGAGAAGGAACCAUAUUUAAUAAACAUCAUCCAUUAGAUUAGAUCAACAGUCUCCGAACAUUGCAAUUCUUCCAGAAACAGUAUCUCUCUUGCCCUCACAGAAGAGCAUGUGGUCAAGAGGAAAUUGAAUAAAGUUCUUUAAUCAGCUACAGUAGUAUUUGAAUCAUUUAAUUUAAUGGAUCUGACAACCACAAUUUAUUUUUUAGGCCAAUUUUAGCCAACCAGGAGAGCUGGCCCAGUCUGACCCAUGCUUAAUAAAUCACCUCCUUGCCUGAUUGUAGAAAGUUUGGGGAAGAGAUUUUUCUGGGGCUUUUCAAACAUAAUCAAAACCAAUCUGCCAUGCUGUGUAUGCCUGGCAGGAGUCCUUGGCCAUGCUCCCUUCACAUGGCCCUGUGGCUGUAGAGUGAGCCCUCGGGCUGGAGGGAGCUAAGGACACAAGGCAGGGAGCUGUCACCCUCGCAGCCUGUGCUUUUUAUUCCUGGCUGCAGGUUCGCAUGGCCAGGAAAACAAGUCAAAUCAAAUUAGAUGCCAGACACAUGCUGCUUAGUGCAUCUCACCCUCUACUGCCUCAGGCUCUUCAACACCUGCUGGAACCUCCUCAUUGGAAAAAAUGAAAGAGGAGCUUCUGAUUCAAAGUAACACCCCCUGGACCCUCGAUGUGGCCUCUACCAGAGUUACGUUAAGUCACCCGUGAAGUCCCAGUAAGGGGUGGAAUGCAAGACCCCUCCUUCAGAACCAGUCUGACGUCAGCUGCAUCUGAGCCCCUGGCAGGCAUCUCCUCUGACCUGCCGGGCAGAUGUGGUUGGGCUGAGAAAAACCCAUGGGACUUCAUUCUGUUCCUACUGCAAGCAACAGCCACGUGAAAUCAAGGGGCUUGAUUUCAGGCCAGUCUUCGCAUUUUUUUCCAUCUAUUCCAAAGAAACAAUAUGGCAGGAAGGAGGCUAGGGGACCAAGGCAGGGCUGGUGGUCUUCUUGGGAGUAUGUAGCAUUCUUGGAGACAUAGUAGUGAUAAGUAAGUGGCAUUAAGAAAGGAGGAAUCUGGUGUGGGUCAGUGCAUGCAGGGAAUUGUAAGUUUUUCGUGAAAUCCAGUUUCUUAGAGUUUCUUAGUUGGGGAUGUAUUGAUGUCAGAAUAGAACCAUCAACAGCCAAGGUUACAAGGGGGAGUUGUGUCCCUGCAGGGAUCCAGGGAAAUCCUGAGCUGGAGCCAAAUGUGAGAGCCCUCCAGGCCUCCUGGGAACUGUCCAGUCACAGGCAGCACCUCCAUGGUGCUGGACCUGGGGCUGCUCACCCAUUUUCUAGCUCUGGGCACCCCCUUCUCUGCAGAUGAACCCUUGGCUCCUGCUCCCCCCAAAACCUGAACUCACACAAGCAUGACUCUGGGUUCACUAAUUCUAGUCAUGACACUUGAUCCAGUAGCUUGAGAGCCACUAUUAACCAAGGAGACCCCCUUCUGGCUCCUUCAUGGGGGUCUCCAGGGGACAGAGUGGCUCGUGCACUCUUGUCAAGGUCCUGGGCAGCCAGGGCCACUGGCGUUUGUCAGGAAGCCCCCCUGCCCCAGAACCUCCUCGGAGGGCAUCUAAACAACAGCUGCCCAUACUUGAUAAUGGGGGUGGGGACAGAGAUUUGGGGGAGGGCUGGGGAAGCCCCUCCUCCCCUAUUGGCACCCCAACCAGGCCUGACUUUUCCAAUUAAACUUUGACUCUGCCAUUUACUCCUAUGUACCCUUGAGCCCUGUUCUGAAUUUCUGAUCCUCAAAAGUAGAACAGGGCUAACAGGAGCCCUUCCCUUCCAGGGUUGCUGUGAAAAUUGAGAUAAGAGUUCGAGGGCAUAAACUAUUUCAGAAAUAAUAAAGAUAAUAGAUCUUUUUAACCUAGAUGCAACCAGAGAUCAUAGAAAAUGUAGAUGAGUGUAGACUGGAGAUACGAUCUUGUUCUAGAAAGAUGAAUAUGUUUUGAAUUGCCACAAGAAUGAAGUACAUUUCGUUAAAGAAAAAAGUAAGGUAAUUUAUGCACAGCCCUACAAACAUGACUCAUAAAAUAGAACUAACUAUAAAACAGUUUCUCUUUGUCUCCCUUUGUCCUUUAAAUGUACUUAUGGCGCUACCUUUUCCCUAUAGCCCCUGGAUGAAAUCUAAGCUAAAUCGCCUACUGACCCCUUCUUCACCCCUUGGCUGAUGUCUUUUUGUUCCUCCUGGAGGCUUUCUUGAUCAGGCUAUAAGACAACCCCAUGCUGGCUCUCUCAUGUCAGCAGCCACCUCUCAUCCUCUGGAAGUGUUCGCUCCUCCUUUGCCCCCCUGAUCUCUGGGCAUGCAGGCGGAUCCCGACGCGGCUGCUCUCCUAGCUGCACUGCUAAGCCAUCUGGCCAGCCUGUCUCCUGCCAUCAGGAUUUCUCUGGCAUGAGUCGCCCCAGUUCACUGUGUCCCUGAAGCUCCAAAGGACAUGUCUUGAGCUUUCUGCGUGGUCUCACAGAAGCUCCUUUCCCCAAGCUUGAGGUGAGGAGCAAGCAUCCUUCACUAUCCUCCUGGGAAGAGGAGAUUCACAGCACCAACUCUCCAGAUAUGCCCACAGAGCCCAGCACACUGCAAAUGCCCAGUAAAUGGCAGCCAUCCCGGGCUCCUGAUCCUGCCUCCCAGGGCUGAGGAAAGGGCUCUGUGGCCACUGGGCCUUGACUGCCCCUGUCCUAAGCAGUUCUAAGCCCUAAGUCCCAAGGGCAAUCCCAGGUCCCUAAGUGACACAGUUAUUGAGAAGAGAAACUGGGAUUCCACUCCAAGCCAAAAUUGCCUUCCUGGUCUUUGCCAACUGUCUCCAGGGAAAAGAAUACUCCCCACCCCUACAUUAUGAGGGUAGGUGAGCAGGUGAGAAGAAAGGUGUCCCGGACAGCCACAGAAACAUGGUGGAUGUGGCAGUGUCCCAAGCAGGCACCAAACAACCCCCACAUUGGCUGCCCUGCUGGAUAUGCUGUCCUGUUAAGGACCUACUCAGGGAGCCCAAUGAGAGCUGAACUGUGAGGCCCCUUGCUCAGGGUGACCAAAGGGGUUUCAGGAGGUGCCAGGAUUGGAGGCAGAAUGAAAAACAUGCCCCAGGAAAGAGAAGAUGAGAAAGCUGGGGAAAGGAAGGCAGUAGGUGUAGGAGGGAGGGAGGACCCGAGUCAGAGUUGUCUUGGGCACAAACCUAGGGUCUGAGGGUCAGCCCAGAAGCCCUGGGGCAGGGAUCUGGGUCCUGUUUUCGGAGUGGCCCCGGAGGAGACAAAUGGUCUGGAAGGCAGUGCCCUAAGAAUGUCCACACCAGCAAGCCUAUCUCAGAUGAUUAAGUGGCAGCAGAUAAAUUUAACUAAAUGUGAGUAAUGGGAACACAAAGGGGAAGUGAAGAGAAAUAGAAUAUUUUAGCAACAUAAGGAAAUGAGAAGAAAAUGACUUUGCAAUGAAAUGUCAAACUUCUGUGCCUGGAGGAGAUGUAAUCUGGUCAUUGCAGGCUUAGGGGAGUGGGGGAGUCUGUGGUUAUUUCAAGAAAAUUUUAAUUCACUUUAAUUUAAUAACAUAUGGCCAGAUUCUUUUGGGGCAAUGUCAGGAGACAGAACUGGGAGUCAGAGAGUGCCAGCUCUGCUAACUGGGGUGUUUUUGGUUGUUUUACAAGGAGAAGCUGUACUUAAAUUCAUUUCACCUAUCCAUCCAUUCAUUCAGGGAGUGAAUCUUAAAACCUGAGGAUUAAGAAGACAAAAGACACAGUCCUGCCUACUCCUGCCCUCAGGAGAUCCUGGUCAGUUGGGGUGACAGACAAGUGAACAGAAAGUUACAGGGUAGGGACACAUUCUGGACCUAAUACUUGAUGCUCAAUAGAAGUUUGUAGAAUGAAAGCAUGAUUGAAAGGUUGGUUCUGAAAAGGCACCAAAAAGGAGUGAAUAUCAAGGUGGGUCUUGAAAGAUGGGUUCCCCAGCUAGGCAUGUAAGUCAAGGGAAGUCCAGGUAGAAGGGACUGCGUGUGACAGGGUAGAAUGGACCACAUGUAGCAAAGCGGUGCUGAUUAUAAUCAUGGGGCUGGAGGAGAUUGCCCAGGGAGAGGGGCAGGGUGAGAAGAGGAAGAGGACAAAGAAGAGACACAGGAUCCAUGGACCCUGAUGAGAAAUAACACCCUGAGGAAGGCAUGCACUGAAGACCUCCCAGUCCACUAUUACUAUCGCUGAAAUCUCUACUGCAGCCCACAGUGCCUAUUCAUCCUUGGAGCUUCAACUGAGACAUCGCAUCCCCCAAGAAGUUUUUCUGGCUCAGGCUGGGGUGAGUCCCCCUUCCCCACGCAUGCUCCCAGCACACCCUGUGCCACCAUCCUUGUCACGGCCCACCCCAGCCCCAUGUUGGGUUCGUUUGUCUGUAUGCCUGCCCAUCUCCCAACUGAAGCUGCCAUGCCCAGCUCUGGUGGUGCCCCGACUACACUGGUGCCUCUCUGGAUCCUGGCCAGGCUGUCCUGUCUAUGGGAUCCCAUCCUAAGGAUGGACAAAGUCCAUCCGGAAAAGCGGUUCCAGAAGCUGAGGUCUGAAUUAAGGGCUGUUGGCUGGGUCGGAGGGUGGAGUCUGACCAAGGGAAGAGUGUUUUAGUUCAUAUCACAUCGAACUUUUGCACUUUUAGAGGGAUUCUGGAAGUGCCCUGGGUAACAGCCCUUCUUAUUCCCAGAACUCUGGCUGGGAGGGGUGGGUGGUUAGGGUUAUUGGGCCUGGGCAGCAAAGCCAGAGAAACAUGGCCCCAGGGCAGAGAAGCCGGAAUGGUUGGACCGGCGGGACGGGGAGCGGGCCCGCUGAAGCCAAGGCUCAGGACGGGGCCUAGCAGAGAGGGGCCUGUACGAAAGCCGCCUCUUUCGACAGAGCUGCCUGCGGAACACGCCGCCCAAGGGAAAAAUGACAAAGCUGUAGGUGUCCGGAAUGUCCGCUAGGGGGAAACAGAGGCUAAGCCACCUGACGGGUAGCCAUGGUAACCGCAGAGCCAGCUGCUGAGUUAUCCCUAGACUCUGGCAGGGAGGUAAGGAGAACGCCCAAGCAGGGUGUUGCGAAUGCUCGCGGGUCUGUGGCCAUCAGCUCCAGGCAAGGACGAAGGACCCAGGUGACUUUAAUGUUUUCUCACCUCCACCCAAGUCACACUUUUGCCGAUUGAGCCAGGCAUAGCAGUUGUGGAAGAAAAAUAAAAUGGGGUUUUGGAUCAGCCAAACCAGAUCCUUCAUUUUAAAGAUGAAAUAGAAACCCAGAGAGGGAAAGACACUUGCUGGAGACCACACAACAGCAGUCCUGUAAAUAGAGCUGAAGAGAAACUGGUGGAAAAAAGGAAGAAAAGUAUGCAAAUGACCAAAGACCAAUCUGGCAAUGUGCUCUAAUUUUUUUAUUACCAUUUUUUAAUUUAAAAUGUUUUAAACACACAUGUGUGUAUGCAUAUACAUAAUGCUGCAAUGUAACAAGAAUCUCUUUUAGCCGGUCACAUGCAUCUUUUCCUUCCUGUACCAUUUUCUUCCUUCUCCAAUUAGGGUCUUUUCCUUCUCUGGGCUUCUAUUGCUUCUAUAAAAUGAAGAAGCUGGCCUAGCUGAUCUCAAACCCCAUCACUGUCUAUAAUAAAGCAAAGCCUUCAUUUCAUGAACUCAGCCCAGUUAACUGGGCACACGAAUAGGUAAGGACUUCCUGGAGUGAGAGACUGCUUGGCAGCCAGAUGUCUCUGUAACUGGGCCCCUGACAGGCUAGCCCAGGUCCGUUGGGUUCAUGUAUCUGGUUGCAAUGUUGGAGGACAUUAGCCAUGAACAAAAACUACCUCCACGAGAAUAUUUGAGAGUUAGUUAACUUGCAAGUUUAUUUUUAAAACUCAAAGACAUUAAGAAAUAGCCUCUAGACACUCAUCAUGAUGGGGAAAAAACUCUCAAAUCCAAACAUAGUUAAUUCAGUAAACAUCAUUUGAGAGUAAUCUUGUUUCAUUUCUAGUCCCUCAUUCUUUCUCUGCCCUCCUUCUCUAUCCUGUUCUUCGCUCAUUUUUUCUACUUUCUGAUCUCUAAGCAAAGCCCCUUGUUUGGCUGCAAGAGCCCUCAGAUGCCAUUUGCAUCUUGGAAGGCCCAAUGGGAUAAAUCUCCCCACACAACCAACCAUAUCCCAAGGUCAUUGAACAUCCUGGUCUCAGGGGGUACAGAGGUAUCUGGGGAGAGCCUUCCUUGAGUAGACAUUUUUCAUGAUUCCAAACCCAUGAGGGGAGCCUGGGAUCAAACAGACUAGGCCACAGGGUCAGGGCAAAGAUGGGAUGCUAGGGUGCUCCUAGGGCCCAUCCCGUCAACUGACAAAUGAGGAGACUUAAUAAACAAGGAGGCAAGCGACUGGCCUGAGGAGAACCUGUCUGGGAGAGCCAGAUGGCUGAGCCAGGAGCCAAAGUGAGGUCUCCUGACCCCUGGCCCUUGUUACUUGCAGGGACUACAUUGUCCCUGAGGUAACAUCACUUGAUUCUGGCCUGAGUCACCACAGCAGAGAUGAACCAAGAGUCUGUGGGUCCCUUCAGCUUGGCUCGGGGUGGCUGGAGACCACCAGGGAGGUUUUGUGAGGCAAUCUGGAGCAGCAGGGGCUCAGAAAAUUUGAGCUGUAGGUGCUCAGUGAACUUUUGUUGAAUUUAAAACAGUUUGGGGGCUUGUGGAGGCUUCAAGCUUGACUUGAGGGUGGGCUGGCAGGGUCAGUAAUGGUCAAGAAACUGACCAAGAUCAAACCUUAUCAGGUGUCACCAUGGGGUGUCUGUGACAAGGCCCCAGAUGCUCACAACUCACUAUGUGUGUCUGGGGGACUGAGUGUCCAGUUUUUCCCUUUUCUACCUUCCCUACCCUGUAUGUCUGAGGAAAGAACUUUCAUUAGAUUGCACCAGAGACUAACUGGUACAUCCAUACAAUAUAAUAGUACUCAGCAAUAAAAAGAAAUCAACUAUUGAUACACACAAUGACUUAGAUGGACUUCAAGGGCAUUAUUCUGAGUGGAAAAAUAGGCCAGUCUCAAAAGGUCACAUACUGUAUUAUUCCAUUUAUAUAACAUUCUAGAAAUUACAAAAGUAUAGAGAUGGAGAACAGACCAGUGGUUGUCAUGGAUUAGAGAAGGGAGCGAGGCAGGUAUCACUAUGACAGCACAGGGAGUUCUUUUGUGGUGAUGGUAGCUUUGUGUCUUGAAUGUGGUGAUGGUUGUAUUAUUCUAUACAUAUGAUAAAGUGCCAUAGAAUUAUACACUCAGGACAUUAAAAAAUACAUGCAAAAUAGGUAAAAUCUAAGUAAGGUUUGUAGACUAGUUAAUUGUAUUGUACCAAUAUCACUUCUCUGGUUUUGAUAAUGUGUUAUAGUUACAUAAAAUGCCAUUAUGGGGGCAGCUGGAUACUGGGUACAUGGAACCUCUCUGUACUACUUUUUGUACAUUCUUGUGAGUCUAUAAUUACCUCAAAAUAAGAAUUUUAAUAAAAACUGUACUAGUGAGUAGCUUUAUUCUGUUUUGAAUGUUUUGAGUUUGGAGGUGGUUAGCGUAAUGUAUCAUCUAGGACUCUAGUUACAAGAGUCAGAGACGCCAUUUUAAACUAGCAUAGGACAAAAAGGACAUUAUUGGUGCAUGUGAUCAAACUAUGGAACAGCGGGGAUAGAGCUGCACACACAAGUCCAGCUAAUGUAGGAAUCACACAGACAAAAUCCUCUUUCUUGUUUUCUCUCUCAUUCCCCUUUCCCAUCCCCUUCUCCAAUCCCCCAUCUCCCAUCCCUUCAUAGAAGAGGGAGAAGAACUUCUCCCAAAGAAAGGGGAUGCUGUUACUGAGAUAUGAGGGAAGGGAUGUUGGGCAGAGGGGGAGAAAAGAUGUCCAUUACAGCAUGUUAAAUGGGGUAACAUUUUUAAAAUUUAUUCAUUUAUUUAUUCAGGCUUCACCAGGCCUUAAUUGUGGCAU